UUAGACCCCUCACUUUUAAAGGAUAAUAGUAAUCCACUGGUUUUAGGCACCAGAAACCU
rnacentral:tRNA from 1 species